CUAGAUCAUCUUUUUUAAGAAAAUACCUAUGGUGUUGUUGCUUAUAUCUUAGUUAUCAUCUCUCAGAAAAUACAUGUAGCAAAACCUGACCAGUCACAUGUUGGGCGCUACCAAAGGUCAUGUAUUCCAUAGAAACCAAUGAAUGGAUAAACCUUGCAAAUGAUUGGAAGACUCCUUCAGGGCGGCAAUAAUUCAGACAAUUUAUUGCUUGCUGGGUUCAUCCCUAUCAGACGCACAUUCACUUAUGCUGCCCACAUAUCUAUGCUUGGCCCUGGGGGGUAAUAGUGGUGGUUGCACCAAUGAGAACACAAGCUGUGAGAGGUGGGCUGGUCUCGAAGAGUGCACAAAAAACCCA